rnacentral:lncRNA from 1 species
CCCUUGGUAAUCAAGUCGUUUCUCACUUAUAUUUUAAAGGUAGGUACUCUUACCAAUUGUAUCCCCAUACAAUUUCCUUAAAUAGCUCUAUGUCAAAUUGUCCCCUGGUAGUCAGUUCGAUCCUAUUGGCAUAGUUGAGUUCAACCAUUAGGAUAGCAAAGAACUUAUUAAAUUUUAUACUCCACCGGGUAGUCCAGGCGUCUAGUGUAAAAUUGAAUAAUUCUUUCAAUCCAUACAUCUAAUGCAAUAAAUAAUUUUAACAUAUUCUCGAACUAUAAGUCUCCUGGUAGUCAGGCCG